UGAAAUUAUAGAAUCAUAAACGGUACAUCACAGACGUCAAUAAUAUCUGCCCUCUCCGCAGAGCUUGUAAAUAUUUAUUUAUAAAAGUAUUCAUCAAAGUCCUGACUUGGAUUUGCAUAAUGGAAUACUGUGGAGAACCUAAUUCUGCACCUUUAGAUGAGCUUUUUGCAAACUUUUCUUACUUAUCAUUUAGAUAUCCCAGAUUUUGAACGACUAUAUUAAAUCAGCUUUUAAAUUUUUUUGUAGGGCAGAUGAUAUUACCAGAUUCCCCGGUCUCUGAACAUAAUUGAGAGUUUUUAGUCUUGAAAACAUUCUCAUACAUUUCAUCUUCAUUAUAAAGUAAGGUAUCCAAAAAUGAAGAGUGAUCCAGCCAAGGUCAAUCAGUGUUUAAUGGUUAAAAUGGUUUUGGAUUCUAAGCAUCUGUUAUUAAAGACAAAACUUUCAUAUUUAAAAUGCCUUUUCAUUGUCCUACUACUCUUAGGGAUUUGUAGGCAAAAAUGAGGAUCACUGGCACUGCAUUUGAAACUGAACUGCAUUAUUAUGUUGCCUUCACUCAAAAAGUAUGUGAAAGGAUAAUGUGGUGUUUGUGAUGGCCAAAAGGCCUUGAAUGAAGUCCCAUAAAAUAGAUUAGCUUAUUCAUAUGUCUGUGUUUACCUCGAAUUGAAACUGAACUGUGUUUUGUUUUUGAAGACAGAAGAAAAGUGAAAGAUCCUGCAUUUCAAAUUAUUCAACACAACUUCCUACAAGAUGCAUUUUAAACUAGCUCUGAAGGGUUGUACAUUACAAUGUGAAAAGUUCAGGAAACAAUCCAUAAAGACAGGUGAAGCAAAAUGGGAGCCUAGAGAGUUUUAGAGACAUUUAAAAGCACUGUGAUCCUAACAUGAAGAAAGCUCAUUUCCCAACUGCAGUAUAUGUAUAGUGAUAAGAGCCGGGAUUCCUAGUUAUUUUUUUCUUUGCUUAUCUCUUCCAAUUAAUGACAUUUUUGCUCCAAGGGAGAUCAGGUAUAGUCAGCUUGUCAAGUAUUUUCUUGUUGCCAGGUAAUUGUCACUUGUUCAUUGCCAUAUAAAUUAGCCUGAGUAUAAAUAAUCAUUACAACUCAGACAAUUUUUCAGCAAUAGGCUCCAUGGAGAUAAAAACAACCUGAACCUCAAUCUUAAUUCUGCUCCGAGCAGGACAUGAGUUCAUAGGCAAUUCCCUAACCCCAACUCCAGUCUGGAUCGUUGUGGAUCACCGGGAGCAAAUGCAGAUCAGCAGCUGAGAACUUCCACUUCACAAGCAACUGAACUCGAUUGAGAAAAUUCCUUCUGAGAAAGCCCAGCACAUCUAAAUGUGCUGGUUAGUUCAGGUUAGUUAAGAAGGUUCAGUCGUUAGGUAUUAAUGCUAGAGUAAUAAAAUGGAUUCAACAGUGGCUAGAUGGGAGAUGCCAGAGAGUAGUGGUGGAUAAUUGUUUAUCGGGAUGGAGGCUGGUGACUAGCAGGGUGCCUCAGGGAUCUGUUUUGGGCCCAAUGUUGUUUGUAAUAUACAUGAAUGAUCUGGAUGAUGGGGUGGUAAAUUGGAUUAGUAAGUAUGCCGAUGAUACUAAGGUAGGAGGUGUUGUGGAUAAUGAGGUGGGUUUUCAAAGCUUGCAGGGAGAUUUAUGCCGGUUAGAAGAAUGGGCUGAACGUUGACAGAUGGAGUUUAAUGCUGAGAAGUGUGAGGUUCUACAUUUUGGCAGGAAUAAUCCAAAUAGAACAUACAGGGUAAAUGGUAGGGCAUUGAGGAAUGCAGAGGAACAGAGAGAACUAGGAAUAACAGUGCAUAGUUCCCUGAAGGUGGAGUCUCAUGUAGAUAGGGUGGUGAAGAAGACUUUUGGAAUACUGGCCUUUAUAAAUCAGAGCAUUGAGUACAGAAGUUGGGAUGUAAUGUUAAAAUUGUACAAGGCAUUGGUAAGGCCAAAUUUGGAAUAUUGUGUACAGUUCUGGUCACCGAAUUAUAGGAAAGAUAUCAAUAAAUUAGAGAGAGUGCAGAGACAAUUUACUAGGAUGUUACCUGGGCUUCAGCACUUAAGUUACAGAGAAAGGUUGAACAAGUUAGGUCUCUAUUCAUUGGAGCGUAGAAGGUUGAGGGGGGAUUUGAUCGAGGUAUUUAAAAUUUUGAGAGGGAUAGAUAGAGUUGACGUGAAUAGGCUGUUUCCAUUGAGAGUAGGGGAGAUUCAAACGAGAGGACAUGAUUUGAGAGUUAGGGGGCAGAAGUUUAAGGGAAACACGAGGGGGUAUUUCUUUACUCAGAGAGUGAUAGCUGUGUGGAAUGAGCUUCCUGUAGAAGUAGUAGAGGCCAGUUCAGUUGUGUCAUUUAAGGUAAAAUUGGAUAGGUAUAUGGACAGGAAAGGAGUGGAGGGUUAUGGGCUGAGUGCGGGUAGGUGGGACUAGGUGAGAUUAAGAGUUCGGCACGGACUAGGAGGGCCGAGAUGGCCUGUUUCCGUGCUGUGAUUGUUAUAUGGUUAUAUAUGGUAAAUAGCUGGCAGCAAUUGACAUGUGUUCUAUGUAGGCAGGGAAUUAAUGAUGAGUGAAGAGCAAAAUGGAAGAAAUGAAUGGAAGCAAGUGGAAGGAAAAAGAAGAAAUGACUAUUUAGCUCUCUUUUGAAAUUAACAAUAGGUCUUAUUCUUUCUUUUUAUUAUUAUUCUACUUGGUGUCUCAGGUCAUAUUCCAACUGUAAGACUGACUAAUCAUCUAGGCAGCAAUGAAAACUCCAAUAUAUUGAAAUUUAAUACAGUACAAUGCAUAUUUUUUCUUCAUCAUAAAUGACUAUUGUACCUUUGCCCUGGAGAAGACAGCAUCAAAACCAACAAAUGAGCUUUGAUGAAGCUGAAUGACAGUCAGCUUUCAACAAAAAUCUUAUGGGAUUGAAAAGCUAUUGCUGUGAUUGUGCUGGUUAUUUGAAGAUGGGGUCUGAGCUGGUCACUAGAUCCUUGCCUCCUCUCUUACUCCCUCCAGAUGAUAAAUGCUUUGAAUAAACAUUUAUGACAUUCUCCUCUUCUGUCUCUUAGGAAAGAAAAUAUGAGUCCCAUAGCUUACUGCAUUUACAAAAGAACACAUGUAAAAAUAAACUUGACAGAAUUAUUUGGAAGGAUCCAGCUUAAGUUUCCGAAAUCAUCUGAGGGAAGAUGCUGUGUAGGGAGGUAGCUUUCUUCCCUUGUGCUACUGUAGCUCUUCUCCCUAUAUUCCAAACUCCGGUGAUUGUUUUGCAGAUCAUAGCCCGCACUUGUGUAGUUUCCUGGCACUGUGCAGUAAUGGGAACAAUGCUGAAAUGACAGAGCUCUCAUUUUAUUAUGGAAAUCGAACAACAACUUUCGGAGAGUGCAUAUUUUCAGUCAGAACUUCAGUGCAUCUGCAUAAUGUUUACUGUAAAGCAAUUAAAACAUAUUUUGUUAAAUAAGGUGUAGGUGGCAUUUUAAAGGCAAAAUCAGCUGUGUUUAUAGCUGAGCUGGUUCUCAGGUGUUCAAAGGCUGAUGUAUGUAUGCACUCAUCUUCUUUGAACACGGGAUUUGGUUUAUUUAAGAAUGUUUAUGAUGGUCCAUAUUAAUUACAUGCAUAUUAUUUACUGUUUAAAAAUGCUUCAAAUUGUAUACAUAAUUAAUAAGUCUUCCAUUUUCUGGUUUGCUGUGAGAAUUCUUCAGUCUGACUCAAUGUCCACCUCACUACUGACAUCACUACUGCUGAUUGCUACAGCUCACCUGCACAAUGUGCUUCAUUGCAAUAGAUGUCAAACUGAUAUACAGUGUAAUGCACAUGAGUUUGGUUGGAAAGUUUAUUCAAGGCAGGUGCUGAAUGUUGAUCCUGGAAUGGGUGACUGGAAAAUCCAAACCAUCCUACAACUGGCCCCGUGAUUGAUAGUCAUGUUGCUUGAGCAGUGAUGCAGAAUCUAGGCAAAAGCUGUAAAUUCUUGUUCUCACCACAUCAGCUAAUUACAUUGUCAAUUAAAUAAAUUUGGAACAAUGCAUAAAAAGACCAAAAUCAGUAAUGGUGACUGUCAAAGAUAUGUAUUGUUGUAAAAGCAACACACACAAAAUGCUGGAGGAAUUCAGCAGGCUGGGCAGCAUCUAUGGAAAAAAGUACAGUCGACAUUUUGGGCUGAGACCCUUCAUCAGGACUGGGGAAAAAGCCUAUUAGAUCACUUAGUGAAAGAAGUCUGCCUUACCUGUCAUAUAUGCUGUUUCAACCCAGAGCAGUAUUACUUUUAAGACAAUGACAACAUAGGAUAUAAGGGCAAAAUUAGGCCUAUCAGCCAAUCAAGACCGCUCCAUCAUGACUCCACCAUGGCUGAUUUAUUAUUCCUCUCAACACCAAUCUCCUGCCUUCUCCCUGUAACCACCAAUGAUCUGAUUAAUCAAGAACCUAUCAACCUCUGCUCUAAAUAUACCCUAUGACCUGCACAGUUGUCUUUAGCAAUGAGUUCCAUAGAUUCACCAACUGUGAUAAAGAAAUUCCUCCUCAACCCCAUUGUAAAUGGACGUCCCUCCAUUCUGAGGCUGUGGUCUCUGAUACUAGACUCCCCCAUGAUAGGAAACAUCCUCCCCACAUGCACUCUAUCUAGGCCUUUCGAUAUUUGAUAGGUUCAAUGAGAUCCCUCCUCGCUCUUCUAAGCUCCAGCAAGUACAGGCCUACAGCCAUCAAUAUGUUAAACCUUUCAAUAUACUAAUCCUGGAAUCGUUCUCGUAAAUCUCCAAUGCCAGCACAUCUUUUCUUAGAUAAGGGGCCCAAAGCUGCUCACAAACUUCCAAGUAUGGCUUGACCAAUGUCUUAUAAAGCCUCAGCAUUACAUCCUUGAAAUAAAUAUUAGCAUUGGAUUUGCCUUUCUUACCACCUACUCAACCUGCAAAUUAACCUUUUGGGGAUCCUGCAUGAGGACUCCCAGACCCCUUUGCACCUCUGAUUUUUGAAUUUUCUUCCCAUUUAAAAGAUAGUAUAGGCCUUUAUUCUUUCUAACAAAGUGCAUGACCAUGUAUAUCUGCUACUUCUUUGCCCAUUACCCAAAUCUGUCUAAAUCCUUCUGCAGACACUUAAGUUUCCUCCACACUACCUGUACCUAGACCUAUCAUUGUAUUGAGUGCAAACUUCACACCUGCAUCAAAAUCAUUAACAUAUAAUUUGAAAAGAAGCAGCCCAACACUGACUCCUGCAGCACACCACUAGUUCAAGUUUCAAGGUGCAUUUAUUAUAGAAGUAUGUAUGCAGUAUACAACUCUGUGAUUCAUCUUCUCCAGACAGCCAUGAAACAAAGAAAACCAUGGAAGUUGUUCAAUGAAAAACAUUAACCACGCCCCCCCCCCCAAAAUCUGUAACCCUGACCCCUGCAAAAGUUCUUCAAUGGAAUCAUUCUAUUCUUACCCUUAUUGGCACGUGGCACAGGCAUCAAUCCAAAGAUUACUACCCUGGUGGUCCUGCUUUUCAGCUUUCUGCACAACCCCCUAUAAUCCCUCUUCAAUACUUCCCCCCCUUUUCCUACCUGUGUAUUGGUACCAAUAUGUACCUUGAUUUCCGGCUGCUCACUCUCCCUCUUUAGAAUGCCAUAGACAUAAUCCAAGAGAUCACUGACCCUGGCAUUCGGGAGGCACCAUGCCAUACAGAAUCUCUUUCAUGUUUUCUGCUUUGUGCUCCUCUAAUUAUGGAAUCUCUUAUCAGUCUGCAUCUUCCCUUCUGUGCCACAGAGACAGACUCUGUGCCAGAGACCUGGAUGCUCUGGCUCCUUCCGGUAGCCACAACCUGCCACUUAUUGUCCACUGAAAGAACAAGGUUUUCUGUUCAAGAGCAAUUAAUGUAGGUAUUGCCUAUGAUGAUGAACUUUCAUGUGAGGGUACUUUUCAAACAAUCAACUUGAUUGUCGCAUCAUCCACCACAAUGUCUAUCCCAUGAAUGAAAAGAAGGGAAGAGGAAGAUGGGCUUAGUGGUGGAUACGUGUGUAGAUGGGAGAAGUUUGGGCAUUUACGGAGGCUUUAAGAAUGAUAACUCUUGUGAGAGAGGGGCUGAGAGAGCCGAGGACCCCGAUGUGGUGUGGAUACAAAUAGCAUGUCAAAACAGAUAUAUUGGCAACUCCAGAAGAAAAUGAUAAAAGCAAACAGAAAAGCAAUAACAAGACACAAAAGGAAUCUUUUCAGGCAUGAAGGAAACCAGCAUAAUGCAAGACUUCCCCUAGUCUUGCUCUGAAACAUGUUCAUGAAUGUCCUUUUCACAAAGCAAUAGAAGGAUCUCUCAUAACAUUAUUGAUACUGUAAAGGGGGUUUCUUCUUUUUUCUUUGUUACUGUGUAUGUAAUCAAAAGGGCUUCUUUGUUUUGUUAAAUAGCAGGAAUGCUUGUUUGUUGCGAGAGAGUGCUGGAAGCUUGUUUGGGUUAAAAUUUACUGAUAACGAGAAUUGUAUUCCUUUGUAAACCAAAUGGGGAUUAAUGUUGUUCUUUCUUCUGAGUCUGUAAGCGAUUGUUGAUGGGCUUUUGGGCAAAUCGGCGUGAGGGGGUUGAGAAAGAGGACGCAAUGCUGUAAGCUGGGCGAGGAAUGGACCCCAAGUGGGAGUCCGAGGCCAGGAGGUACUCUGAGGAGGGGGGAUGAAGCUAGGUGUGCUUGGUUGACCACUUCAGAGGGUCCUGAGCUGCGAGUCGAGGAGUUCGGAGGGGAUCGAAUGGUGGCCAGAAGACUUCAGUAAUUGAGCUCCAACGGUUGGGCAUGAAGGGGUUUGGACUUUGAUAAGUUUGGUGCCUUUUCUUUAUUUUUUUCUUCAUAUAUACUGUAUCAUUAUUAAUCACUUAGUUAUAGUAACCUUUAUAAAUUGUACUCAUUUAAUCGCA